rnacentral:rRNA from 1 species
GUUGUAUGGUUAAGUGACUAAGCGUACACGGUGGAUGCAUUGGCAGUCAGAGGCGAUGAAAGACGUAGUAACUUGCGAUAAGCCCAGAUUAGGUAGUAACAACCAUUUGAGUCUGGGAUUUCUGAAUGGGGAAACCCCCGUGCAUAAGCACGUAUCCUUACCUGAAUCCAUAGGGAAGGGAGGCGAACGGGGGGAACUGAAACAUCUAAGUCCCCCGAGGAAAAGAAAUAAACGGAGAUUCCGAACGUACCGGCGAGCGAAAUUGGCCUAGCCCUUAAGCUUUAACCGCGUUAGCCGAACGGUCUGGAAAGUCCGACGCUACAGGGGGAUAGCC